rnacentral:rRNA from 1 species
UACGUAGGGUGCAAGCGUUAAUCGGAAUUACUGGGCGUAAAGCGUGCGCAGGCGGUUCGUUAAGUCAGAUGUGAAAGCCCCGGGCUCAACCUGGGAACUGCAUUUGAAACUGGCGGGCUUGAGUGCGGCAGAGGGGGGUGGAAUUCCGCGUGUAGCAGUGAAAUGCGUAGAGAUGCGGAGGAACACCGAUGGCGAAGGCAGCCCCCUGGGCCGACACUGACGCUCAGGCACGAAAGCGUGGGGAGCAAACAGG